GAUGAACGCUGGCGGCGUGCCUAAUACAUGCAAGUCGAGCGGACACACAAUAAGCUUUCUCUUUUAACGUUAGCGACUGGCGGGUGGGUAACACAUGCAUCACCUUCUUCUUUUUCUUGGAUGAUUUCGUGAAACCAGUUCCACUACUGCCUCAUAUAUUCUACCGCUGAGUUCAAUAGUUCUUGACGCUUUUCCUGUUUCUUUUAGCUGAUUUCGCGUCGGAUUAGCUAGUUGGUAAGGUAAAGGCUUACCAAGGCGACGAUGCGUAGCCGACCUGAGAGGGUGAUCAGCCACACUGGAACUGAGACACGGUCCAGACUCCUACGGGAGGCAGCAGUAGGGAAUAUUCGGCAAUGGGCGAAAGCCUGACGGAGCAACGCCGCGUGAGUGAAGAAGGUCUUCGGAUCGUAAAACUCUGUUAUUAGGGAAGAAAAAAUGUGUAAGAAACUAUGGACGUCUUGACGGUACCUAAAGAGAAAGCAACGGCUAACUACGUG
rnacentral:rRNA from 1 species